UGAUAAUUUGCUGAAGUGAAAUUCCUGCCUUGCACAUGGAUUGAUCUCCUGUCGUGCCAUAAAAUGGAAAAACGUAUUACUUUCCUGACUUGUUCGGUUUUUCAUGACAGCUGUUACUUUCUCCUGUUCAUUUAGUCUAAAUGAUGGACAACUAUGUGUCACAAGAAUUUCUCCUUUGUUCCUUCAUGGCAAGCAUUGGUGCUGGUUAGUUUUGUGUACAUCAUGAGGUCACUUUUAGCACUGCAAGGCUAAGUGAACGUCUAUCAGAUCGAGAGUGAUAAUUUUACUUCAACCUUGGCUUGGCAGUGAGACACCAGGUACGAAGGUUGGCAACGUCAAGAGACCUUUCCUGCAGAAAAAUUCAACCAUACAUAAUUGGUAGAUAGAAGAAAAACUUGCAGGGAAACGGAAGAAAGAAAUGGAGUUGAUGGCGUGGAAAAUGUUAAGAAUUACGUCCUUGUUGGUAGGAUUUUUACGUUCGUGGUCCAAUGGUUCUAGUACGACGUAUAGUAAAUGCUAAAUGUUUUCAGAUUCCUAUGAGCAAUGCUACCUCCUUAGUUGCAAUUAGUCAUUUCUUUUUACAUGGACGAAUGUCUGCUCAUCUUUUUAAAAACCAUGUUGGCCAAGAGUUCUUUGCUUACCUUUGGAUUGGAAAGAGAUUCCCAUGCAAUAUAAACAAAUACUCCUAGUAAUCCGACCCUCAUCAAUCUCGGUAAACGUUUUCAAAUUCUCCAUUUUCCACCGAGAAAUGCCUGCAAAGUCUUGGCUGCCAUGGCCAUUCAGGUUGCACCGUUCUUACUCUCGUAUGAGCUGGAAUGCAGUCCCAUUGCCAGUUACAUCUUGCUCACUAUGGAAACGAUGCCGUUUGGUAAACCGUAGGUAAAACCUUUCAACUUGCGUGAAGUACCAUCCGUUUUAUUGUUACAUCUGUUGAAGGUGAGCUUUAUCGGCACGCGUUAUAAUAGCUGAGGUAUAAUAAACGAUCUCAUAGCUUAGGUUAGCGGUUUUUAGCAUUGCGAGUAGGGACAUAAAUACUGGCGACAAUGAGAUUCUUGAAAGCGUUCGUCUUGGGUAAUCAGUGCCAUUUUGUACAGCUCAAACGCGUGUUCCGUUACCUAGUGUAUUGAUCCUAACGUUCAACGGGUUGAAAUUUUCAGCAAUUAUUGUAUGGUUUCCAAUCUUUUGGGGAUUUUUUUAAGCAUCUGUUAAUACUACGUGCAGGUACUGGAACUGAGCUAUUCAAAGAAGUGGAACGAGUCAUUGAAAUGACUAUUUCAAUGUUAUACCAGUAUUAAAACCAUUUGAGCUUUCUAUUUGAAAGUGACUUCAUCUAUCGGUAAGAUUUCAUAGUAUGUACUGUUAUUUCGUCAGUUGGUAAACUAUCAGAACAAAACCUAAAUAGGUGUAAAGAAUAAGUUUAGCAUGACGGAUGCUAUUAACAUCUGCGAGCUAUAAGAAAUCAAAUAGGAAAUUCAAAAAUCAUCGAUACUUUGCGAGUUGUGCAAAUUUUUAGAUUCGUAAUUUUGGCGAUCAUUCUAACAAUGUAUGAUAUGCCUGAACAACGUCGGAAGAAGAAUGAAAUUGCAGAUGGGUGUCGUUUUUGCGACUUGGUCUUGUACAAAGUGAUUAAGUUCGUCUAAUAAAACAAGACUGGGGUUGUACAACUGCAAACAGUUCUGUUCCGCGAGAACGUUGUCGGGCAAGACGCUACUAGCAUUAUAUCUGGUCAGCUCCAUCCGGUGAAACCGGAAAUGUACAAACAGCAAGGAAGAAAUCUUCGCAAAAACCUAACAAGGACUAAUGAGUGGAAAGUAACGUGAGGGAAGGAGAGAACAAAACAGUCAAGCAUUGUACCAAGCCUUUAACGUGUACAUAUAUUUCUCCUGUUUUUGUACUGUCUAGUUAGGCUGUGAAUUGAUUCAGUCGUAUGACAUGUCCGUUGACUUUGUUUCCUUCAUUCUAAGGUUUAAUUCCGUUUUACAUUUAACGCUCUUAAA